CUACGGUGGGCGGGCCGUGGUGCUCGGGAAACCGGUGACGACCCCUCAAAGGUCCAUGCCGGUGCGGCCCUCGCCACUGUGAUCGGGGAGUUUCCCUCCCACGUCCCUCGCGGGACAGUCACUGGCCGUCACCAUCAGGCCGGGAAGGCGGGCAGGGAAACGCACGACCCGUAAGCCAGGAGACCGGCCACGGCAGCUCACGCGUU
rnacentral:ncRNA from 2 species